GUUGCUGAGCUGAGUUUCCUGCAGCCCCAAAAGAAGAUUUCUGCUGGAAUGGCCCUGCAGCUUGUAAAUGGAACACUCCUAACAUGUGUGCACCCAUAGAGUUUGGAGACUCUAGUGGCAAUUUAUGCCCUGGAACUUAAGGGCACCUUCAGCUAAGAGCAGUGGGAUAAUAACAGAGCAGAUAUCUAGAUAUCAGUAUCUAGAUACUAUUCACCACAUCAGUGAAUGCUGAGGAAAACAGGAAGCUUGCACAGAGAGAGAAGGACUUUGAGAUCUUCAUCUUCAGACAAUCUUGUGUGCCCUCUUGCCUUUGGUCCCCUCAUAUACAAUGUGGUCAUUUUGAUAUGACUGAAGUCACAGAACUGCUGAUCAUCCCAACAGCAAGCCAAGCAGAAUGUUCAUUGGAAUGUUCAAGACUGGAAUAAGGAUGGUGAAAAUGUCAGCAGCACCAUACAAGUGCAAUGCGAAAACAGCAGCAAUUUCAAACCUUGAGAAGUGUGUGUUCAGAGGAAUUGAUAAACAGAAGCAUGCUCCAACUUCAGCUAGUUUGUCUUCUGGAAUUUAACAGCAAAUGGUGAUGUUAAAUGCACUGGUAUCACUUGAAGAAUCCCAGUUAACACAGUCC